rnacentral:rRNA from 1 species
UACGGGGGGGGCAAGCGUUGUUCGGAAUUACUGGGCGUAAAGGGCGCGUAGGCGGUGCUCUAAGUCGGAUGUGAAAACUCUGGGCUCAACCCAGAGCCUGCAUCCGAAACUGGAGUGCUAGAGUUCUGGAGGGGGUAGCGGAAUUCCUGGUGUAGCGGUGAAAUGCGCAGAUAUCAGGAGGAACACCGGUGGCGAAGGCGGGAUCCUGGGCCAGUACUGACGCUGAGGAGCGAAAGCGUGGGGAGCAAACAGGG